CUGCUGUGUGCUGCUUUGGCUAUAGGUCUAGUAGUUAUAGCCUUCCUUGUUUAUGCCAUCAGGAAUAAAUCCUGUAAUUGUUGCAACGCUGCCGUGACUCUGCAAACAAAUGCUGCAACAGCCAGCGAUAAUCAGCAAAGUGAGCAGAGCCAUGAUGACUCUUUGGUUUAUUGUACACCGGAAUUUACCAGGAGAAAAGCCGGCAACGCAGGGAGAAAAAAUGCAACAGCAAAGGAUGAGACGAUC